GACAGAGGGUGCAAACGUUGUUCGGAAUCACUGGGCGUAAAGCGCGUGUAGGCGGCUACGUAAGUCGGACGUGAAAUCCCACGGCUCAACCGUGGAAGAGCGCUCGAAACUGUGUAGCUUGAGUCCUGGAGAGGAAGGCGGAAUACUUGGUGUAGAGGUGAAAUUCGUAGAUAUCAGGUAGAACACCAGUGGCGAAGGCGGCCUUCUGGACAGUGACUGACGCUGAGACGCGAAAGCGUGGGGAGCAAAC
rnacentral:rRNA from 1 species